AGUACCCCUCGUUUGAGUACUAGUCAAAUGACAGCACAAAUACAUGUAACGCGCGUUCUCUAACUUACCUUAAAUAAACGAGCUUGUGCUCUAUUCGGCCUCUUUCAACGCUGAAACUCUAACUGAUAACAGCUCGUCUUUUCCUGCUCCGCAAAUCACAACUUCAACGCUUUCCCCGGUUAUUUUAAGUGGCGACGGGGAUAAAGGUGUAAUUUUUUUUUACUACGUGCGGUGGUAAUUGAAAACGCGCUUGGGCGUUGAAAAUUUAAGCGACCAUUUUGUGGCUCGUUCUGUGGGGAGCGUUCGUUGAAGUUAGCGGAAAUAUCCGGCGGAUUUGUGGUUCUGAGAGUGAGGUGAAGAAUCAGCAGCACGCGGCAAGCAUUCGGCAUCGACGGAACAAAUCGGGCGGCUAUCGUGCGGUGAAUUGCCGUGGGGAUUUUUUUUUUCUCUGGUUUCGGUGACGUUUGGUGCUGAAAUUGGUGCGCUAUUUUGUGGCGAAUCGGACGGCUAUUGUGAGCAGCAAGCAACUCCGUGGUUUGGCGGCAUUCCAGAGCGCAACGCUGACGGUGGAUUCGGUGUGCUAAUCGGGCGGAACCGGCAGGAGGAGAACAAAAGAGGGCGGAAAGGCGGUCGCUGGCGGAAAUUUUUGGAUCAAGUUCAAGGUCGGGACGCCAUUUUGGACGCCGGCUGGUCGAAGACGCGGCGCGCGUUGGUCUUCUUUUGUUCGUUGGGUGCAGCAUCACAAGUGGGCCGAAUAGCCAAGGUGGAGUUUCUGCUAAUUCAUUAGUGCAAACUUCAGUUCCGCGGACCGGAGAACUCCUGUGCUGGUGCGCGAGUCGCUGAACGAGUUUUGCAGCGAAGGUUGAGUUAUUUUCGCUGGCAAAGGCCGGGAAGGAGAUCGAUACUCAUUCAACACGGUUCCCAGUGUAGCGAAGACAAGAAAGCGCGAUGGCGGCUAGUAGCACGAACCGUCGUGUUGUGGACUCGAAGGAGAUGUGCUGUUCGUGAUGACUGGCAAUCAAAGAGGUUGCUGGUGGAGUGCAGCAAACGAAAUGACCUUCUACUGAAGACGAAAUGCGAAACGACAUGGAGAUUUCGAACGAGGACACGUGUGGUGCUGGAUGCGGCAGAUACCGUCCGUUUAGGGGUGUCUCUGAACGGAAAGGAACAAA